AUACUAUGAUGGUUGCUGAGUUCAGCAGAUUGAAUCGUGAAGAAAUAUACCAUUUGUCUAAUGUAUCU
ensembl:snoRNA